AGUUUCAGGGAUCGCAUGAUUCUUGAAGGAAAGGUGGCUUCGGCUACCACUAAUGGAUGGACCCGCGGCGUAUUAGCUAGUUGGUGAGGUAAAGGCUCACCAAGGCAAUGAUACGUAGCCGACCUGAGAGGGUGAUCGGCCACACUGGGACUGAGACACGGCCCAGACUCCUACGGGAGGCAGCAGUAGGGAAUCUUCGGCAAUGGACGAAAGUCUGACCGAGCAACGCCGCGUGAGUGAAGAAGGUUUUCGGAUCGUAAAACUCUGUUGUUAGAGAAGAACGUUGUGUAGAGUGGAAAAUUACACAAGUGACGGUAUCUAACCAGAAAGGGACGGCUAACUACGUGCCAGCAGCCGCGGUAAUACGUAGGUCCCGAGCGUUGUCCGGAUUUAUUGGGCGUAAAGCGAGCGCAGGUGGUUUAAUAAGUCUGAUGUAAAAGGCAGUGGCUCAACCAUUGUGUGCAUUGGAAACUGUUAGACUUGAGUGCAGUAGAGGAGAGUGGAAUUCCAUGUGUAGCGGUGAAAUGCGUAGAUAUAUGGAGGAACACCGGUGGCGAAAGCGGCUCUCUGGACUGUAACUGACACUGAGGCUCGAAAGCGUGGGUAGCAAACA
rnacentral:rRNA from 1 species